UACGUAGGGUGCGAGCGUUAAUCGGAUUUACUGGGCGUAAAGCGUGCGCAGGCGGCCCGUUAAGACAGGUGUGAAAUCCCUGGGCUCAACCUAGGAAUUGCGCUUGUGACUGGCGGGCUCGAGUACGGUAGAGGGGGGUGGAAUUCCUGGUGUAGCAGUAAAAUGCGUAGAGAUCAGGAGGAACACCGAUGGCGAAGGCAGCCCCCUGGGCCUGUACUGACGCUCAUGCACGAAAGCGUGGGGAGCAAACAGG
rnacentral:rRNA from 1 species